GACGAACGCUGGCGGCGUGCUUAACACAUGCAAGUCGAACGGAAAGGCCCUGCUUGCAGGGUACUCGAGUGGCGAACGGGUGAGUAACACGUGGGUGAUCUGCCCUGCACUUCGGGAUAAGCCUGGGAAACUGGGUCUAAUACCGGAUAGGAGCCAUUUUUAGUGUGAUGGUUGGAAAGUUUUUUCGGUGUAGGAUGAGCUCGCGGCCUAUCAGCUUGUUGGUGGGGUAAUGGCCUACCAAGGCGGCGACGGGUAGCCGGCCUGAGAGGGUGGACGGCCACAGUGGGACUGAGAUACGGCCCAGACUCCUACGGGAGGCAGCAGGGGGGAAUAUUGCACAAUGGGCGCAAGCCUGAUGCAGCGACGCCGCGUGGGGGAUGACGGCCUUCGGGUUGUAAACUCCUUUCGCUAGGGACGAAGCUUUUUGUGACGGUACCUAGAUAAGAAGCACCGGCUAACUACGUG
rnacentral:rRNA from 1 species